AUGACCAUUAACAAGGCACAGGGUCAAACCAUCCCAAAUGUCGGUAUUUACCUUCCAGAACCUGUUUUCUCACAUGGCCAACUAUAUGUUGCAUUGUCAAGGGGUGUCUCAAGAAAGACGACAUGGAUUUUUGGUGCAUAUUUUAAAGUAUGA
rnacentral:rRNA from 1 species